CGGUGUUACAGCUCUUUUAGAAUUUGUCUAGUGGGUUUUCCGGUUGCUAUUGGAAAGUCCCC
rnacentral:snRNA from 1 species